rnacentral:lncRNA from 10 species
GUCGGCUAUGCAGCAGCCAUUUCAGAUCCGAGAGUCAGCCAUGCAGCAGCCAUUUCAGAUCCGAGAGUCGGCCAUGCACUAGCCAUUUCGGAUCUGAGAGAGUCGGGCAUGCAGCAGCCAUUUUGGAUCUGAGAGAGUCGGCCAUGCAGCAGCCAUUUUGGAUCUGAGAGAGUCCGCCAUGCAGCAGCCAUUUUGGAUCUGAGAGAGUCGGCCAUGCAGCAGCCAUUUUGGAUCUGAGAGUCAGCCAUGCAGCUGCCAUUUUGGAUCUGAGAGAGUCGGCCAUGCAGCAGCCAUUUCGGAUCCGAGAGUCGGCCAUGCAGCAGCCAUUUUGGAUCUGAGAGAGUCGGCCAUGCAGCAGCCAUUUUGGAUCUGAGAGUCAGCCAUGCAGCUGCCAUUUUGGAUCUGAGAGAGUUGGCCAUGCAGCAGCGUUUCGGAUCCGAGAGCUGGCCAUGCAGCAGCCAUUAAGGAUCCAAGAGUCGGUCAUGUAGCAGCCAUUUCGGAUCUGAGAGAGUCGGCCAUGCAGCAGCCGUUUGGGAUCUGAGAGUCGGCCAUGCAGCAGCCGUUUGGGAUCUGAGAGAGUCGGCCAUGCAGCAGCCAUUUGUGCAUGCUUCCCUUCUCCCAGCCCCACAGGAGACUGACUCUGCAUCCUGCCUCCUUUCAAAUGCAUCCUGUGCCAACAGUUUCUGAAAACGGAUAAACAAAUUGACAACCUCAAAUGCAAAGAUGAAACAUUUCUCCAGAUCAUCAGGCACAUGGUUUACUCAGGCCCAGAGGAGUGAGCUGAUAUAAAGAAGCUGUGCCACACAGUCGGAUGGGGUCCGAAGGAAACAAUAGGGCUGAGUGAUGAGUAUUGAAGAAGAAAUCUAAAGAAAGAAUGUCUUAUCAGCUGACCGCAAAGCUGCCUCCUUCUACCUGGCCACAUUGCUUAUCUAUUGUACUGCGUCUCUCUUGGAUGGAAACGAUACACCAAUCACUCAUAAGUGAAUAAUUUCCUUCUAAAUCACAGGCCUACACCUGAGGUGGCUGCCACAGGUGUAACCUGUUUAGACCAGCAAUUAUAUUUACUCCAUGAUGACAGAAAACAGGAAAGAUGUAUCAUACAGUGCAUUUGCUCCUGCUAUUUAUAAAUAGACCUCUUUACAUUAGCACUACAUAUGACUGUCUCAUCCACUUAUCAGCAAUUUAAUAUAUCACAGACAACAUGGGUUAAAAGCAAAAUAAGUUUCAAACACUAACCUCAGUUUACUCAUAAAUAUUUCACUUCUACAAACCUUGUUUAUUCAAGCUAUGGUUCUAUACAAAUUGGCAAGUCAUUCUUUAUUUUACUUUUCUGUGGUUCUAGACCCUUCUAGACUAAAGAUCUCUGACUUUACUGCUGCCUUUUCUAGAUGUUUUCCUGAGUACACAUGUGAGCUUAUUGUUAACAUCAGUCUCUUUCCCUUUAAGAACUGGUUUUUUUCUGAUGGCUGUGGUCUAAGAGAGCUCACUCUGGAUUUCUCUCUGUUAGUUUUCUAACAUAACCCACAGUGAUAAAUCUAUUUUAUGUUGGGAAUAAGGGAAUAUUUAUACGUAAAGUCAAACAAAAUUGAAGUUUACUUAUGCUUUUUUGCACUUUGAUAUUUUCUAUAUAUUCUGCCAUGUUCCCUAAUAUUCUCUGUUAUUCUAUUUUAUUUUUAAGAAAAUGAUUGGUCUCUACCCUCACAAUGAUUCUGCAAUCCACUGUGGGAACAUGACGCACAGCCUCGAGCCACUGUGGGAGCUUCCUCAUCAGAAGGGAGGGGUACCAGGGGGUGUGGUGAUGUGGCCCUAGGUGCGGGAAUUUCCAAAAGGGAAGCUCUGGUAGCAGCCUCUCAUCUAUAGUAUCAUAUUUUCAGUGUCAUCGUAACGCAGAGAAGUAGAAGAUUCAAGACUUUGGAAAACAGCCAUUUUCUCUCAAUUACAAGAAUAAUAACAGUAUUUGAAAGAUCCUAAAAGUGGUGAAGAUGGAGUAAGUGUUUGGUAGGGAAUCCCUGCCCUGGCUGAUCAUUAUGUCUGCCUUGGCUGUACAUGUGAUCUUGGUGGCAUUUCUGGACUAUCACCCAGAGAGGUGGGUUAAGACUGGUUAAGACCGCAGAGUCAGACCGCUUGGAGUUGAAUCCUGACACCACCGCAUUCUAGCUGUGUGACUUUAGAAAGUCCCUUAGCCUCUAUGAAAUUUAGUUUGCUCAAUCAGAAAAAGAGAAUAAUGACACUGUUCAUCUUACAGAAUUGUUGCAAGGAUUAAAUAAACUAUCAGAUGGAAAGGACUUGUGGUGAUAUCUCGCACAUGGCAAUGACUGAACAUAGAUUCGUUGUUAUUAUGUCUUCCUCUAUGCAGAGUGUUUCAGCCUCCUAUUGCUGCUGUAACAAAUUAUCACACAUAUAGUGGCUUAUAGACACUGUGAUAUAGGUCUAGGAGUCAGACAUCUGCAGUGGAUCUUACCAGCUAAAAUUAAGUGUCCACAGAACUGUGUUCCUUCCGAAGUUUCUGGGGGAGAAUCUGUUCCUUGUGGUUCCAGCUUCUGGAGCCUAUCCCAUUUCUAGACUCCUGAUUGCAUCACGCCAGCCUCUGCUCCAUUAUCACAUCUUCUCUGACUCUCACCCUCUUGCCCCCUCUAAGAAGAUCACUUGUGAUGACCCUGAGCCCACUUGGACCUUCCAGG